ensembl:snRNA U6 U6 spliceosomal RNA
GUGCUUGCUUCAGCAUUGCAUACACUAAAAUUGGAACCACACAGAGAACAUCAGCUUGCCCUCUGUGCAAGGAUGACAUGCAAAUUCGUGAAGCAGUUCAUAGUUUU